UGGAGAUCUGCCUGGGCAUGAAGUGGAGAGGCCCUGCUUUACCACAAUCUCUGCACAGGAAGGGUGGGGAAGCUCAGGCUGCUAUUCUGGGUUAAUGACUUUCUUUCUUCAGCAUUGUGGAUGAAUUAGGUUUUGUCAUGGGGAAAAACAUGAUCUGCAAAUUCAUCAUUUUUUGAGACUGUGAAUAUCAGCAAAACUAUCAACUUUCAGGAAAAUGGAAAGUCUCUCAGAGAUGAAGACUGAAUACAGUGGAGAGAGAACUUCUGGAUUCAAGGACAUUGAAAAUAAUAGCUACUGUCCACUUUCAGGUGAAGUUGAGCAUGGAUGAUAUGAUGUUUGUGAGCCUGAUCAUGUUGUACCCCUAUUAUAUGCUAUGCCACUGCAGCGAUCAAGCUUGUCUAAAACCACCCCUGCCUUCAUACCACUCAAGGAGAAGACAAAUAUAGUUGGUUAUUGGAAGAACCAACAGGAUUUUACAGGAUAAGUAGACAUUUCAUAGAGCUCUUGAAACCUGAAAAUGAUUGACAUUGCUGUGUGAAAGGAAAAUAUCUUGGGCCCCCAAAAUCACUAAGUUAAAGGGAAAAUUCAAGCUGGAAACUGCUUAGGGUAAACCUGCCUCCCAUUCUAUUAAAAGUCAUCCUUCUGCUCACUGAGAUAAAUGCAUGUCUAAUUGCCUCCUUUGAAAGGCUAAUCAGAAACUCAGAAGAAUGCAACCAUUUGUCUCUCACCAACCUGUGACCUGGACCCUCCCCGCUUUGAGUUGUCCCACUUUUGUUUUGAGUUGUCCCGCCUUUCCAGACUGAACCAUUGUUAUAUAUGUUGAUUGAUGUCUCCUGUCUCCCUAAAAUGUAUAAAACCAAGCUGUGCUCUGACUACUUUGAGCACAUGUUGUCAGGACCUCCUGAGGCUGUGUCACAGGCAUGCAUCCUCAACUUUGGCAAAAUAAACUUUCUAAAUUAACUGAGACCUGUCUCAAAUUUUGGGGGUUCACAUUUGGUAACCAUGGAGGGAUUCUGAGUGGAGAUGCCCCUGACUUCUGACAAAUCUCCUAUCGGUUCUUCGUACCAGCAUGAGCUAACUUUAUAGCUCAAACCAAUAGGACAAUUUGCUGAGGUCAGGGAGCAACCCUUCCAGAGAAUCCCUGAUCUCCAAAAAUUUGGUCAAGAUCUAAAGUUUAUUUUGCUGUAUACUCCUUUUGUUUUUCUUGCUUCCAACAAGGAAGGCAAGAUUUCCUGUUUCCAAGACAAUGGAAAGCAGGUAACUCCUUUAUGGAGUUUGAGCUCGCUCCCAGCUGGGAAGACGAGUUGGAGUAUUUUUCCUGCUUCUACAAUGGUAGAAAGCAGUCUUCAGCCUAAGAUCCAUCUCUGGGUAAGUAGCUGAAUUGUGGUUUUGUCUUGGCUAAAGUUCAACAACCAGCUUAUCAUUGGAGCACUCAGUGAUCAUAUUGUUGGGCUUUGUUGUUGUUGUUUGUUCCAGUCUUUCUCCCAUCAGAUUUCAUCAACUCUAUCUGACUUGGACAAAUCCAAGUGAGAAUUGCAAAUGAUGGGUAACAAGCCCUCUCUAAUUUGGCUAAAAUUCCUCAUAGCUGCAAAAUUAAACAAAGAGAGAAAACAAGAAAACCAUGUGUUUGGUUUCUGUGUUCGCUUCCUUUCUUUAAAAAAAAAAAAAUUGUUCUUUUGUUUACUUUUCUUCCACCCUAUACCUCCUUCCCCCUUUGCCAUCUGAAGUAUCAAAAAUUCUAGAGAAAGCUUCUAAUGACUUUCAUACACGUCCGUGUGAAGAGGUCACUAAACAGGCUUUGUGUGAGCAACAUGGCUGUUUAUUUCACCUGGGUGCAGGCAGGCUGAGU
rnacentral:lncRNA from 10 species